rnacentral:rRNA from 1 species
UGAAUACGAGAUGCUACGGCGUCGAAGCAGUCUAUGUCAUACUUCCAAGAAAAGCUUGCACUGUCAUAAACAAAUAAUGCCUGUACCAUAACCGACACAGGUGGGUAGGUAGAGUAUACUAAGGGGCGCGAGAUAACUCUCUCUAAGGAACUCGGCAAAAUGACUCCGUAACUUCGGGAGAAGGAGUGCCUUAUUUAUAAGGUUGCAAUAACAAGAUCCAAGCAACUGUUUACCAAAAACACAGGUCUCCGCUAAGUCGUAAGACGAUGUAUGGGGGCUGACGCCUGCCCAGUGCCAGAAGGUUAAAGAAGUUGGUUAGCAUCCGCGAAGCUGAUAACUGAAGCCCUGGUGAACGGCGGCCGUAACCAUAACGGUCCUAAGGUAGCGAAAUUCCUUGUCGGGUAAGUUCCGACCCGCACGAAAGGCGUAAUGAUUUGGAUACUGUCUCGGAGAGGGGCUCGGUGAAAUAGACUUGUCUGUGAAGAUGCGGACUACCUGCACCAGGACAGAAAGACCCUAUGAAGCUUUACUGUAACCUGAAAUUGAAAUUGGACUUUACUUGCGCAGUAUAGGUGGGAGGCGUUGAGAAUAUUCUUGCGGGAUUAUUGGAGCCAUCAGUGAGAUACCACUCUUGUAAUGUUAGAUUUCUAACUUUGUAUCAUUAUCUGGUCAAAGAACAGUUUCAGGCGGGCAGUUUGACUGGGGCGGUCGCCUCCUAAACGGUAACGGAGGCGCACAAAGGUUUCCUCUGAACGGGUAGAAAUCGUAUCUAGAGUGUAAAGGCAUAAGGAAGCUUGACUGUGAGACCUACAAGUCGAGCAGGGACGAAAGUCGGUCUUAGUGAUCUGACGGUGCUGAGUGGAAAGGCCGUCACUCAACGGAUAAAAGUUACUCUAAGGAUAACAGGCUGAUCUCCCCCAAGAGUUCACAUCGACGGGGAGGUUUGGCACCUCGAUGUCGGCUCAUCGCAUCCUGGGGCGGUAGUACGUCCCAAGGGUUGGGCUGUUCGCCCAUGAAAGCGGUACGCGAGCUGGGUUCAGAACGUCGUGAGACAGUUCGGUCCAUAUCCGGUGUAGGCGUUAGAAUAUUGAGAGGAGCCUUCUUUAGUACGAGAGGACCGAGAAGGACAUACCUCUGGUGUACCAGUUAUCGUGCCAACGGUAAACGCUGGGUAGCUAUGUGUGGAGUGGAUAACCGCUGAAAGCAUCUAAGUGGGAAGCCCACCUCAAGAUAAGUAUUCUCAUC